UACGUAGGGUGCAAGCGUUAAUCGGAAUCACUGGGCGUAAAGGGUGCGUAGGCGGGUCUUUAAGUCAGGGGUGAAAUCCUGGAGCUCAACUCCAGAACUGCCUUUGAUACUGAGGAUCUUGAGUAUGGGAGAGGUGAGUGGAACUGCGAGUGUAGAGGUGAAAUUCGUAGAUAUUCGCAAGAACACCAGUGGCGAAGGCGGCUCACUGGCCCAUUACUGACGCUGAGGCACGAAAGCGUGGGGAGCAAACAGGA
rnacentral:rRNA from 1 species